CGAUAACGAACGAGACCUGGCAUGCUAACUAGUUACGCGACCCCCGAGCGGUCGGCGUCCCCCAACUUCUUAGAGGGACAAGUGGCGUUCAGCCACCCGAGAUUGAGCAAUAACAGGUCUGUGAUGCCCUUAGAUGUCCGGGGCUGCACGCGCGCUACACUGACUGGCUCAGCGUGUGCCUACCCUACGCCGGCAGGCGCGGGUAACCCGUUGAACCCCAUUCGUGAUGGGGAUCGGGGAUUGCAAUUAUUCCCCAUGAACGAGGAAUUCCUAGUAAGCGCAAGUCAUCAGCUUGCGUUGAUUACGUCCCUGCCCUUUGUACACACCGCCCGUCGCUACUACCGAUUGAAUGGCUA
rnacentral:rRNA from 1 species